CAGCGCGGCGCGGGCGGCGGAGCGGCGGGAUGCGGCAGUGCCGGGCCGCGGGGCUGGCGGGGCUGACCGCGGUGCUGCUGGUGGCUGUGAGCAGAGCCCAGGUGCAACAGGAGCCGUCGGCAGAGACCAGAGAGGGGGCUGCAGUCAACAUCACCUGCUCACACCCCAGCAUACAGCCCGGAGAUUACAUCCAUUGGUACCGUCAGCUCCAGGGCCAAGGCCCCGCAUUCCUUGUCAGCACAGCUAAAGACUCCAAGGAGGUGCCGGACCCGGAGGGGCAGCUGUGGGUGUCGGCAGACCGCCGCUUCAGCGUCCUGCGGCUCGCCCGGCCCCGGCUCGGGGACGCGGCGCUGUAUUACUGCGCCGUGGGCGCACGGGAAGCGAAGCCGGGGCUGCGGCCGGGCACGAACCGCUUGGGGCGGGGCGGGGGCACAGUGCCGUCCGGGCCCGCAGGGGGCGCUGCCUGCAUGGCCGCCAAACUCCAUCCUGACCGGGGUGCGCCGCCCUGAGCUCUCCACAGAAAUGAGCACGGCAUCCUUGGCAGCCACUCACUGAGGCCAGUGUCAGUCAGAAACAGCUGUGUUGCAGGUAGGCAGGCUGGCAAGACUGUUAACACCAGCUUUGUUGGACUACAGCAAGACAUCCCCACAGUUCUACUCCAUCUCCUACUCUCUUGUCCUUCCCCAGUGCAGUACAUAUGAGAGCAGUAGAAGCCCUGUUCAGCUACAGAGGCAAAGGUGAAGACAGGAGCUUCUACGGUAUGUCACGGCCUCUCAUUUUUCAGAGAAAGGAGAAGGAUCUCCAUAAACCUGCACUCUAUACCUGUCAGGAGCAAAGCUAUUCUAUGUGGGCAGCUCUGAAGGCCAUACAAAGUGGAAAGAAAAGUCAAAAGCUCAAAUAAGAUGCAGACAUCUUUAAUGAAUGUUUACAGAGGAAAAUGAAGUCACACUGAGCAAAGGCUCCACAGUGCAGGAUUCACACAGACCCAAAUCCGAGCUCAUGCAAGGCUUGUUCCUGCCUUUUUGGAAGGGAACAGAACGGUUCUGAGGAGCCUCAUAGCCCAUCGGAGAUGAAGAGAGGGAAAAAAAAGAAAAUGGAAAUAAAGGGUUGAGUAGGGGACACCACAAAGAGACAUGAGCCAUGUUUUCAGAAAGCAUGGCAUUGCCUCUUGCUCUCAACAUUUCCUAGAGCAUCGGAGUAGGGUCAAGCAGGGGCUUGAAGAUUCCUUCUUGAUCCAGCACUGUGUUCGU